CAGCCGCGCGUUGAGUACGUAACAAACUAUUCUUUCUCCUUUUACUAGAGAAUACAGUGUACUCGUUGCUAUCGAGCGGCAUACACCAAAAUAAUCCUAACAUUUGAAUAAUUGUA